CUGAUGAAAAGACGAGAAAUGCCAGUAAGCCAAAUUGAAACUACAGAAACUAAUGAAAGGAAGACCAAUUGAGACCGAGGUUGGGAAAUGAAGCAGAUCACAAGCUGAUUGAAGGGCAAGGGUAUAUAUCUUGUAUAAAAACACUUCAAGUUUGUUUUGCUAAACAAAAACUUUUAUAUGGCAGUCGGUUCCUUCCUAACAAAUAGUGUAGCUUUAGGCAUUCAAAAACAAAUCAAAGUGUGCUGAAAAACACCAGCUGCGACUUGAGAGAGAUAUAACUAUCUGAAAAUAUAACAGACUGAUAUGGAUUUCGAUGUUUCGAGCGAAUACCCUUCGUCUUCGUAGCUUCCUCGUUGGGAAGUUAAUUCGGGAUGUUAUACAUAAAAAAAAUCACUAAAACCCACGCCAGCACGUAACAGUUGCAAUGCAAUAUUCAGUCAAAAGUAUUAGCAAGGACCAUCUCCUUUGUUCAAUGACAAGAGAGACAGUAUACGUCUAUAUGGUUCAAACUGAAUUACAUGAAGAAAACCUGCAAUAUUCGGGUGAACCCCACUCGUGUUUAACCAUUCGAUCAGCAACUUUAUCAAUUUCAGUUUGCAUAAUCUUAUUAAGUGUUUUAAAACACUGGUUGCUGUAGAAUAUAUUAGUGUCAUCUGCAAAUAAUAUAAUGAAAUUAAUUUGCAAUUUUUAAUAUCAUUGAUAUAGAGUAGAAAUAGAAUUGCAUGGUCCAAGAAUUGAUCCCUGUGGGACACCAC